CCUACGGGUGGCUGCAGUGGGGAAUAUUGGACAAUGGGCGAAAGCCUGAUCCAGCCAUGCCGCGUGUGUGAAGAAGGCCUUCGGGUUGUAAAGCACUUUCAGUGGGGAAGAAAGCCUUGGGGCUAAUACCCUCGAGGAAGGACAUCACCCACAGAAGAAGCACCGGCUAACUCCGUGCCAGCAGCCGCGGUAAUACGGAGGGUGCGAGCGUUAAUCGGAAUUACUGGGCGUAAAGCGCGCGUAGGCGGUCUGAUAAGCCGGUUGUGAAAGCCCCGGGCUCAACCUGGGAACGGCAUCCGGAACUGUCAGGCUAGAGUGCAGGAGAGGAAGGUAGAAUUCCCGGUGUAGCGGUGAAAUGCGUAGAGAUCGGGAGGAAUACCAGUGGCGAAGGCGGCCUUCUGGACUGACACUGACGCUGAGGUGCGAAAGCGUGGGUAGUAAACAGGAUUAGAUACCCGUGUAGUC
rnacentral:rRNA from 1 species